CUACAUGGUCCUGUGACUUGUGAGCGUACCUACUGGAAGAGACCAGAUUUGGAGCAGAGAUUAAUCUCAGAGGCAUCAGACAUUGAGGACAUGUCUCUCAUGGUGCUGCGGACCAAGAGGCCCCGCCAAGCUCCCAGAGGGCUACAAGCUCACCAUGCACAUCUCUCAGGGUGAUGGAGAGACUAUCAGAGU